rnacentral:tRNA from 1 species
AAGUGUGUAAUAAGUACUGCUAAUACUUAAAACCAGAUAUAACUCUUCUGGCACCCUUA